rnacentral:lncRNA from 1 species
UCUAGGGCUUGGGCUGACGGUUCCCUCAUAGGCUGCGAUAAGGAUAAUGUCGUAGUCGUGUUCCUCAGUGUUGAUAUGUAGUGAAUUACGCCUUGUCCCUAGUGUUGACGUAUAUGUGGAAGGAAGGGUGUCUUACGAAGGGGGGCCAUCACAGGUUAUAGAGCAGUACGAGAGGGCAUCCUGGCUCGACAACACGUACAUAAGGACCGACUUGAGGACUUCUGUUAAAAGGCCUAGACUGUUCCCGCUAUGCGAUUGACCGCAUUCCAAGAAAAGUGAAGCGGGUACGACGCAGUGGUAUCAGUCACCUUGAAAUGCCACGAAUAAUCUAAGUGCGUGAAAUGGCGCUUACAGUCUGGAGCACGUAGAAUUGCUAAACCCCACUGUUUAUUUACGUUUUUUUUUUUUUAAGGCAUAACAUUUAUCAUAAAAAUAAUAAAUAAUAAUAGUUAUCUAUGAA